AUUGAACGCUGGCGGCAUGCCUUACACAUGCAAGUCGAACGGUAACGGGCCUUCGGGUGCCGACGAGUGGCGAACGGGUGAGUAAUACAUCGGAACGUGCCCGAUCGUGGGGGAUAACGAGGCGAAAGCUUUGCUAAUACCGCAUACGAUCUACGGAUGAAAGCAGGGGACCGCAAGGCCUUGCGCGGACGGAGCGGCCGAUGGCGGAUUAGGUAGUUGGUGGGAUAAAAGCUUACCAAGCCGACGAUCUGUAGCUGGUCUGAGAGGAUGAUCAGCCACACUGGGACUGAGACACGGCCCAGACUCCUGCGGGAGGCAGCAGUGGGGAAUUUUGGACAAUGGGCGCAAGCCUGAUCCAGCCAGGCCGCGUGCAGGAUGAAGGCCUUCGGGUUGUAAACUGCUUUUGUACGGAACGAAAAGCCUUCUUUUAAUACAGGAGGGUCAUGACGGUACCGGAAGAAUAAGCACCGGCUAACUACGUG
rnacentral:rRNA from 1 species